rnacentral:rRNA from 1 species
UACGAAGGGUGCAAGCGUUACUCGGAAUUACUGGGCGUAAAGCGUGCGUAGGUGGUUUGUUAAGUCUGAUGUGAAAGCCCUGGGCUCAACCUGGGAACUGCAUUGGAUACUGGCUUACUAGAGUGCGGUAGAGGGGUGCGGAAUUCCCGGUGUAGCAGUGAAAUGCGUAGAUAUCGGGAGGAACAUCCGUGGCGAAGGCGGCACCCUGGACCAGCACUGACACUGAGGCACGAAAGCGUGGGGAGCAAACAGGAUUAGAAACCCCCGUAGUCC